ACAGAAUAUAAAAUAUACGAUAUCAAUUGUCAUUUCACAUUUGUCAGUUGUCACUAUCAAUUGUAAUUUGUAAAUUGUAAUCCGCCGUAAACUCUGUUGUUUUGUGUGACGUGUCCCAAAUUUAAAGAAAAGAUAACACACCAUGAUUACCGACAUUCAGCUGGCAGUUUUCUCGAACAUCCUAGGUGUAUCCAUAUUUCUACUUGUUAUCCUAUAUCACUAUAUCAAUGCAAACAGCAGCAAGUAAAUAAAUUAAGCAUACGGCGAUCUGCAGUAUCAAUUCAUUAUUAAUUUACCCGCAACGUAUUUAAGAAUGUAAAUAAAUUAAGU